UUAGCUCAGUUGGUUAGUGCAUGGUGCUGACAAUGCCAAGGUCACGGGUUCAAUCCCCAUCCAG